rnacentral:rRNA from 1 species
UACGAAGGGUGCAAGCGUUACUCGGAAUUACUGGGCGUAAAGCGUGCGUAGGUGGUUGUUUAAGUCUGUUGUGAAAGCCCUGGGCUCAACCUGGGAAUUGCAGUGGAUACUGGGCGACUAGAGUGUGGUAGAGGGUAGUGGAAUUCCCGGUGUAGCAGUGAAAUGCGUAGAGAUCGGGAGGAACAUCCAUGGCGAAGGCAGCUACCUGGACCAACACUGACGCUGAGGUGCGAAAGCGUGGGGAGCAAACAGGG